UAUUUGAUUGAUGUGUUCUGUCCUCUGUUGUGGUGCCAGGUAUCGUCUGCAGGUUCCCAUAGACUGCCAUGUGCUCCAUGUGUACCUGAUUGUGCUGUCCU